AUUGAACGCUGGCGGUAGGCCUAACACAUGCAAGUCGAGCGAGCGGCGGACGGGUGAGUAAUGUCUGGGAAACUGCCUGAUGGAGGGGGAUAACUACUGGAAACGGUAGCUAAUACCGCAUACUAUCAGAUGAGCCUAGGUCGGAUUAGCUAGUUGGUGGGGUAAAGGCCUACCAAGGCGACGAUCCGUAACUGGUCUGAGAGGAUGAUCAGUCACACUGGAACUGAAACACGGUCCAGACUCCUACGGGAGGCAGCAGUGGGGAAUAUUGGACAAUGGGCGAAAGCCUGAUCCAGCCAUGCCGCGUGUGUGAAGAAGGUCUUCGGGUUGUAAAGCACUUUCAGCGGGGAGGCGUUACCCGCAGAAGAAGCACCGGCUAACUCCGUGCCAGCAGCCGCGGUAAUUC
rnacentral:rRNA from 1 species